AUUGAACGCUGGCGGCAUGCCUUACACAUGCAAGUCGAACGGCAGCACGGGAGCAAUCCUGGUGGCGAGUGGCGAACGGGUGAGUAAAGUAUCGGAACGUGCCCAGUCGUGGGGGAUAACGUAGCGAAAGUUACGCUAAUACCGCAUACGAUCUAUGGAUGAAAGCGGGGGAUCGCAAGACCUCGCGCGAUUGGAGCGGCCGAUAUCAGAUUAGGUAGUUGGUGGGGUAAAGGCUCACCAAGCCGACGAUCUGGAGCGGGUCUGAGAGGACGACCAGCCACACUGGGACUGAGACACGGCCAAGACUCCGACGGGAGGCAGCAGUGGGGAAUUUUGGACAAUGGGCGCAAGCCUGAUCCAGCCAUGCCGCGUGCAGGAUGAAGGCCUUCGGGUUGUAAACUGCUUUUGUACGGAACGAAAAGGUUUGACUUAAUACGUUGGACUCAUGACGGUACCGUAAGAAUAAGCACCGGCUAACUACGUGCCAGCCGCCGCAGUAA
rnacentral:rRNA from 1 species